rnacentral:lncRNA from 1 species
UAAUUGCUUUGUUGUUUAUAGUGAAUGGGUUGGGUAAAUAAAGUAAAUGCGAAGAUCAUCCAUAAAAAAUGAAUAGAUGAUAGAGCAGUGAAAGAGUGUUUACGUUGGUAGAACUUUUGCAGUUGGAAUGCAAGUGCUCGUGUGAAUAGCUCUUAUUGUGCAAAGUUUUUGAAAAGAGUGGGUAUGAAGGAGGGAUGUAUAGUUGAUGAGGAGGCAAGGUUUGAUGAUGAUACAACUAUAGCGUCUUGUUAUAGAAAUGAAUGCAGGAUUGCUCAUGUCACUUGAAGCUGAGUCAUUGCUAUGUCACAAUGUCAUCAGUAAGGUAACUUGAAAAGUAGAAGCCAUGAGUUGCUUCUGUGAGUAACUCUUUGAUCUGCAAUACAAAUUUUGUGACACAGUCCCAGUGGGAUACCUUCCUUCUCACACCACCAUGAGGGGCCAUGUUUUACUGCCUCUGCACUUUUAACACUGCCCAUCAAAGUCAGUUGCUGAAAUCCCUGGAAAUUCCCAUUAUCCCUGGUGCAUUCUGCUAGAGACAUCUCUUCCUUUCCUAAUAAUGGGAUGUGGGAAGAGCACACAAAGAAGUACCACUGUAACUGUGCUCUUCUGCAGGGCUAUGCUGCCUGCUAUUAGACAGCAGACACAAGGCUAAAGAGAUGCUAGGUUUGAACUGAUACAACUAUUUCUCUUAUCAAACAGGUGUUUCCAUGGCUGUAUGUGCAGUCACAGUAAAUCCAUGAACCACAGCCCCAUCAGAACAUUCACUAUCUAAAGAACAUGAAAGUCAUCCAAAUGGAAAUGUAACGACAUAGCGCACACCCAAAUAGAAGGAUAUGGAGAGACAAACUCUGGUCUUGAUUCAGAGAUCUUGCAAAAGUGCAUGUGAACACAUGGUUUUGUGGAAUGGCGCCAUUUCUCACUGCAAAUUCUGGUUACAAAGGUGAAUGAAUAUAUUCCUAUGUGCUCCUCAAGUGCUGGAAGGAUUCUGAAAUGAUGAUCUGGAUGAUCUUCAUGGCCUUUUCCAACCUUAAUGACGGUAUGAAAUAAAGCUACGUGGAGUCUAUUUUAUAGCUGAUUU